GACUCAGUGGUAGAGUGCUUGCCUUGCAUGCAUGAGGUCCUGAGUUCGAUUCCUCAG
rnacentral:tRNA from 1 species